CAUUUUAUGUUAUGGGUAGUAUUCCAUCAUAUAUAACUAUCUGUACAUGUAUCCAUACAUUUAACAUAAUAUAACUUUAUUUUGUAAAAAGUCAGACAUUUUUACCAAUCCGUUUAUUUCUUCUAUUACCUUUAUUGCAAAGUUACUUACAUUAUAUCCUUCCUCUCUUCCCUUGUUCAUACUCAAAUUUGAUCUUAUCAUACAUGCAUUGCCUUUUUGUAAGACUGACCCAAACUUCCUGCCUCUUACAUUUCUAAGCGUGUUGAAUUGUUGAAGAUACCUCAUAUAUUUAGGAACACGUCUAGUCUCUACAAAAGAUAAAUAUUCACAGAGGAGUUGCCUACCCCUGACUUAGGCAAUCAUUUUUUAGCACACAACACUCGCAGUAUCACAGACAAUUGUGACUCCCCUUUUCAUACAAUAGAUAUGCUCUUCUCUACAUAUUUGUGGUUUAAUCUUUUUUUUUUUGAAGCGGUGUUUCCUUUGCAGACUGAAUGAGUAUUAUCAAUAGUAAUCCCAUGUUGAGUGCUAAGUAAAAGUAAUACUUUUGCAAUGGACAGCCUCUUUUCUGAAUCACGUUAGGAAUGCUCUCAGCUACAUAGAAGGCUAUAUGUAUAAGUGAGAAGAAGGGAAUCUCACAUAGAAAGAUCCCUGCAUUUUAGGGAGAAAGGAAUGCAGUAUUAUUAACUGGGAUCUUUGCAAGAUUUGUGAAAGAAAUUGGGAGCUACAGCUAUUUCUACUUUUCCAUUGUGGCUUCUGCCUCCAGUGAAAGAUUAUCAGUUUGAUAGGGUUGGUUUGUGGACAUGCAUGAAUACAUAUGUAUCAUUUACUCCCAUGUCUUUGAAAUGGCUCAUUUCAGAGCCAUUGCAGUCAUUUCAAUGGCUCAUUUCAUACAUAUAUACAAUAUAUAUAGAAAGAAAUCUUAUGGAGUGAAUAUGGUAUGCAUCCUUGGCCAGAAUCCCCUAUGAGAUUAAUUUAUAUUUAGAUUCAGAUGUCAUUGAACUCUUGUUUCUAUCAACCUCAGCCAACUGCAAUACAAUAGUGUAUUGCAAGUUCUUCAGCAUCUAGAGAACAAGGAUAAUCUGAAAUAACUUUCACAAAGAAUGCCUUUAUAAGUGUUCAAGAAAUGCUGCUUUUAACAGUAAUAUAUAUUCUUUCCCAUAUUCCCUUGUUAAUAUAAUCUAAUUUACUAAAAUUAUCAAUAGAAAAAAUCCUUUUUUAUCAUAACAUGAAAUUAAUAUUGCAACUUCAAUUUAGAAUUAACUCCUAUAUAUUCACUAAGUCUGGAAAUAGAUUUAUACGGAGUGUUUUUAGACCUGAACUUGAUUAUUAUUUCAUUUUAGCAUUAUAGAUACAACUGAUGCAUGUAAGCAUAUAUUCAUUCAGUCUGCAAUUUCCAUCUUGAGAGUGAGUCUCAUACUUCUUUCCUCUAAAUGUUUUAUGUCAUAUCAGCCCAAUUCAUGAUUUUGGAGAACUUAAAAUGUUUGUAAAUUAUUUGAUGACAUUUAUGUUGGUUCUAAUUAAGGUACAAUCUAACUGAAUGUUAUUGUUUUUCUUAGGUAUAAGAUCUCUAUUUUCUCUGUUAAUUUAUUAAUGAUUUAUAUGCUUAAUUGAAUCUUGGUACUAUUUGAUGUCAGUCCUAUACAGGUAAAACCUAAUAUUGAUUCUUGUUUAAUCUGGCAUUUUUGAUAAUAUGCUUAGGCAAUAUACAUUUUCUGGUUUUUCCAUGGAUUGAUCUUAUUCUAAACUGUGAUUCAAAAUAUUGUUUGUAUAUGUGCUCCACUCACAGGCAUGCAAGUUUUCAUUAAAGCAUUAUUUAGAUU